rnacentral:rRNA from 1 species
UGGGGAAUAUUGCACACUGGGCGCAAGCCUGAUGCAGCCAUGCCGCGUGUAUGAAGAAGGCCUUCGGGUUGUAAAGUACUUUCAGCGAGGAGGAAGGCGUUGUGGUUAAUAACCGCAACGAUUGACGUUACUCGCAGAAGAAGCACCGGCUAACUCCGUGCCAGCAGCCGCGGUAAUACGGAGGGUGCAAGCGUUAAUCGGAAUUACUGGGCGUAAAGCGCACGCAGGCGGUCUGUCAAGUCGGAUGUGAAAUCCCCGGGCUCAACCUGGGAACUGCAUCCGAAACUGGCAGGCUAGAGUCUUGUAGAGGGGGGUAGAAUUCCAGGUGUAGCGGUGAAAUGCGUAGAGAUCUGGAGGAAUACCGGUGGCGAAGGCGGCCCCCUGGACAAAGACUGACGCUCAGGUGCGAAAGCGUGGGGAGCAAACA